GCGACUGUGGUUUAGUGGUAUGACCUGAGCUUCCCAAGCUUAGAACCCGGGUUCGAAUCCCGGCAGCCGCA
rnacentral:tRNA from 3 species